rnacentral:rRNA from 1 species
GUAGGGGGCGAGCGUUGUCCGGAUUUAUUGGGCGUAAAGAGCUCGUAGGCGGUUUGGUAAGUCGGAUGUGAAAUCUCCACGCUCAACGUGGAGGGGCCAUUCGAGACUGCCAUGACUCGAGUCCGGUAGGGGAGUGUGGAAUUCCCGGUGGAGCGGUGAAAUGCGCAGAUAUCGGGAGGAACACCCGUAGCGAAGGCGGCACUCUGGGCCGGAACUGACGCUGAGGAGCGAAAGCGUGGGGAGCAAACAGGAUUAGAUACCCUGGUAGUCCACGCCGUAAACGUUGGGCACUAGGUGUGGGGCUCUAUCGACGGGUUCCGUGCCGUAGCUAACGCAUUAAGUGCCCCGCCUGGGGAGUACGGCCGCAAG